GGGCGGUGGGUUGGAGGGUGAGCGCCGUCAAUGAGCGCUUCGAUAUGGCCUCCAGCCUUCCCCGCUACCUGUGGGUGCCCAGCACGCUGCUGGACCACGACCUCAAGCGGACGUUCGCCCACUUCCAGGAGCGCCGCCUGGCUCGGCUGUGCUGGCACCACCCAAAUGGCAGCGACCUGCUGAGAGCCGCUGGCUUCCACGCAGCCUCAGAGCCGGGCAGCGAGG